UUCACUUGGAAAGGACAAGGAAGCAGAUCGACAAACACCCUUCGAACACCACUCCUUCAGUUGUGGCUUCUUCCUCUUCUAACCUUGAAUACCCCUAAACAGAUCAUCAUCAUUAUCCCUUCCCGUUUUCCUUCAGAAGAUAAAGAAGGAAGCAAAUCAAAAAUAGCCUCACCCCAAUUACAAAACAGAGGCACGACACACCCCCACAAAAAAGAAGUCGCCGAACUCCAGCCCACCUGAAAUGAAAAUUAGAUUCCUAUUUGGUUGAUACAAAUUUGUCACUCUUUCAACCAUAUAACACACAAACGCAACGGGAAAAGGGAGGAAGUUGCGCAACAUCGUUACAAAAAGAAGAGAAAAAACGUAGCCAUCGUCUUCAUUUUUCUGCCGUCCAAAACAGUCAUGAGAGCUACUCUUUUCCCUCCGUGAACGCCACCUAAAACCUCCACCAAACAACCUCGAGUCUGUCCCGAAAUGCAGCUAAAAUCUGCUACAACAACGCCCAAAAUACCACCACAGAUUCUAGUUGAGUUGAUGAGCUGUCCGUUUGCAAAUCCGAGAUUCCAUUUGAAUUCCCGUCUGCUGUUUCGAUUGCGGUCAUUUUCUGGUUUGUCUUCUGAGUCGCAACUUUAGAUUUGUUAAUAGAAGAUGGCACAGUUUUGAAUAUGAUAAAAGGAUGCGUUUGAAGAAACAAUUAAAGAUUCACGCAUUCUGAAAUAACCUGAACUUUGAAUUGAGUGAAACUGAGGCAGUAAGUCUGGGAAAUCAAGAGGUUGAUAAGAGCAUAUAACAAGGAAAUGUCUCUCAAGAAGUUUGAGGUAAAUCAGUUAGUGCUGAAAUGCAUUCUUCCACAUCAAGAUAAGGUUGAGUCAAGUCUGUUUCGAAUUGGCAAGGGUCAUUCAUUGGAACAAAGGUAUUGCCCACUGACACUUUUUGUUUGUGUUGAUGCUAUCAAUAGAUACUAUGUGUGAUUUGUUUGCUUAUCUUCAAUUGCAAGUUUGUACUUGGCAUUUUUAAGUUUGGUAUGACGAAGACAUUUUAUUCUGCUA